UUCUAAAAAGUUUCUGGUUGAUUUAUUCCUCUUAUUUUAUAAAGCAGCAUGUUGGUAUAGAGGCAGCUUGACUGACACCUUAAAAAACAUCAUGUUCUGCUAUGUGAGAAAAGUAGAGAACAACACAAGAAUACCAGAUAUUGAGCAGCAUGUUGGUAUAGAGGCAGGUUGACUGAAACCUUAAAAAACAUCGUGUUCUGCUAUGUGAGAAAAGUAGAUAACAACACAAGAAUACCAGAUAUUGAUAGCUUGCUACAGUUAAUUCAUUAGCAUAUUCAACCAGACCAGUUGUCUUCAUUACCAGGCAGAAAAAUGAUGAAUAUUCAUUGAAAUCAACUUGAAACUGCAAAACUCAGGAAAACAGCAAAACUGACACCAAGUCCAGAACAACUUCUGAGAGGCAUAUAUAUCUUUCAGCGUGGCCAAGGGUGGUGGGUGGCGCGUAGGUUCCACGCGUGGCGAUCGCCUAUGAUAGGCGAUCGCUUCCGCUUGGAUAAUCCCAACUGUCUUAAUGCGCGAAAUGCUGCCGAAAUUUUCAAAAAAAGUUUCGGUAACAUUUAUUGGAUUGUAUGUGUUGUUUGAAAUACAUUACGCUACAAAAGAGUUGUAGUACAAUGAAAA
rnacentral:lncRNA from 1 species